rnacentral:lncRNA from 1 species
GGGAGCGAACUCUUAGAGUUGCAAAUGGACAGGAGGCUAAUGUUGAAGCUGUUGGGACUCUCCCGUUAGUGCUAAAAGAUGGCUUCACCCUCCUUCUUAAUAAUGCUAUUUAUGUUCCUACCAUGAGGAGGAACCUUAUUUCUGUUUCUCUAUUAGAUGAUGAUGGUUUUGAGACUUAUUUUGGGAACAAACGAUGUGUUAUUAAGUUUGGUCAUGAUGAUGUUGGUCAUGGCGUUCGCCAUGACAAACUCUAUAGACUCCUUUUGAACGACUCCUCUGAAUCUUGGAAUGUUUGUGAUGUAAUAAAUAAGCAUGAGACUUCGUCAAAAUUAUGGACUGUCGCUUAGACCAUAUUUCGAAGGGGAGAAUGGAGCGUCUCAUUAAAGAAGAGAUACUUCACCCCUUAGACUUCUCUGAUUUAGAUCACCGCAUCGAUUGUAUUAAGGGGAAAUUCGCAAAACAAAUUAAGAAAGGAGCAAUUCGUAGUAGUGGGGUUUUGGAAUUAAUCCACACUGACAUUUGUGGUCCAUUUCCUAUUACUUCUGCCGAUGGAUAUGACUCCUUUAUUACUUUCACCGAUGAUUAUUCUCGUUACGGAUACAUUUUUCCUAUUCGCGAACGAUCUGAAGCACUCGAUAAAUUUAAAAUCUACAAAGCUGAAGUAGAAAAUCAGCAUAAUUUGAAGAUUAAAGUAGUGCGAUCAGAUCGAGGCGGAGAAUAUUACGGGAGACAUGCUCCUUAUGGACAAAUUCCUGGUCCCUUUGCUCUAUUUCUUCAAGAAAAUGGAAUAAUCGCCCAAUACUCAAUGCCGGGUGAACCUCAACAAAAUGGAGUCGCUGAAAGACGCAACCGUACACUUAUGGAUAUGGUAUGGAGCAUGGUUUCCAACUCUAGUUUACCGGUUAAUUUGUGGAUGGAAGCAUUAAAGACAGCCGUGCAUAUACUUAAUCGGGUUCCUAGUAAAUCAGUACCCAAUACACCUUAUGAAUUGUGGACUGGGAAGAAACCCAGAUUAAACUAUUUGCAUGUGUGGGGUUGUCCUUCUGAAGCUAAGAUUUUCAAUCCACACAUUGGAAAAUUAGAUCCUAAAACCGUCAGUUGUCAUUUUAUUGGAUAUCCUGCAACAUCCAAAGGCUUCCGUUUCUAUUGUCCAACACGUACCACUAAAUUUGUCGAAACAAGGCAUGCUAAAUUUUUAGAGAAUGUUAAUGUCAGUGGGAGCUCCGAGACAAGAAAAAUCACACUUGAGGAAAAUCGGACUGACAUACCAUUACCGAUGAUCCCAGAGUCUGUUUUUCCUUCGUCUUCAAGCGCAACACCUCCAGUUAAUGAUUCAGGGUUUAUUGGUGCAACGCCUAAUAAUGAGCCUCACAUCACUCAGUCUUCUGUGAUAUCUAAUGAACCUUUACGUAGAUCACAGCGGGAUAGAAGAGCUGCCAUUAAUACAGAUGAAUAUGUUGUUUAGAUUACUGAAGAUGGAAAUGACAUUAGUAAGGCAAAUGAUCCCACCUCCUUUGAGGAAGCCAUGACAAGCGGACACUCAUCUAAGUGGCUUGAGGCCAUGAAUGACGAAAUUAAGUCAAUGAGUAUUAAUGAUGUUUGGGAUUUAGUAGAAAUUCCUGAGGGAGUCAAAAAGGCGGGCUGUAAGUGGGUCUACAAAACUAAGCAUGACUCUAAAGGAAAUGUCGAACGAUUCAAAGCAAGACUCGUCACUAAAGGUUACACACAAAGAGAGGGCAUAGACUAUGUUAACACAUUUUCUCCCGUCUCGAAGAAGGAUUCGCUAAGAAUUGUUAUGGCUCUUGUUGCUCAUUAUGAUUUAGAGCUACAUCAGAUGGAUGUUAAAACCGCAUUCGUGAAUGGUGACUUGCAUGAGAAUGUAUAUAUGGCUCAACUAGAAGGUUUUGUCGUAGAAGGCAAGGAGCAUAUGGGAUGUUGACUUAAGAAAUCUAUCUAUGGGCUAAGACAAGCAUCUAGACAAUGGUACCUUAAAUUUGAUGAGGUUAUAAGGAAAUUUAAUUUUAAGGAAAAUGAAGUGGACAAUUGCAUAUACAUUAAGACCAGUGGGAGCAAGUUUAUCAUAUUGGUACUUUAUGUGGAUGGUAUCUUGCUAGCUGUUGGAAAUAUGCCCUAGAGGCAAUAAUAAAAGGAUUAUUAUUAUAUUUCCUUGUUCAUGAUAAUUGUCUUUUAUUCAUGCUAUAAUUGUGUUACCCGGAAAUUGUAAUACAUGUGUGAAUACAUAGACACCAACAUGUCCCUAGUAAGCCUCUAGUUGACUAGCUCGUUGAUCAAUAGAUAGUCAUGGUUUCCUGACUAUGGACAUUGGAUGUCAUUGAUAACGAGAUCACAUCAUUAGGAGAAUGAUGUGAUGGACAAGACCCAAUCCUAAACAUAGCACAAGAUAGUACAGUCCGUUUGCUAGAGUUUUUCCAAUGUCAAGUAUCUUUUCCUUAGACCAUGAGAUCGUGUAACUCCCGGAUACCGUAGGAGUGCUUUGGGUGUACCAAACGUCACAACGUAACUGGGUGACUAUAAAGGUAUACUACGGGUAUCUCCGAAAGUGUCUGUUGGGUUGACACGGAUUAAGACUGGGAUUUGUCACUCAAUAUGACGGAGAGGUAUCUCUGGGCCCACUCGGUAAUGCAUCAUCACAAUGAGCUCAAAGUGACCAAGUGUCUGGUCACGGGAUCAUGCAUUACGGUACGAGUAAAGUGACUUGCCAGUAACGAGAUUGAACGAGGUAUUGGGAUACCGACGAUCGAAUCUCGGGCAAGUAACGUACCGAUUGACAAAGGGAAUUGUAUACGGGGUUGCUUGAAUCCUCGACAUCGUGGUUCAUCCGAUGAGAUCAUCGAGGAGCAUGUGGGAGCCAACAGGGGUAUCCAGAUCCCGUUGUUGGUUAUUGAACGGAGAGCCAUCUCGGUCAUGUCUACAUGUCUUCAGAACCCGUAGGGUCUACACACUUAAGGUUCGGUGACGCUGGGGUUGUAGAGAUAUGAAUAUGCAGUAACCCGAAAGUUGUUUGGAGUCCCGGAUGAGAUCCUGGACGUCACGAGGAGUUCCGAAAUGGUUCGGAGGUGAAGAAUUAUAUAUAGGAAGUGUAGUUUCGGCCAUCGGGAGAGUUUCGGGGGUCACCGGUAUUGUACCGGGACCACCGAAAGGGUCCCGGGGGUCCACCGGGUGGGGCCACCUAUCCCGGAGGGCCCCAUGGGCUAAGUGGGGAGGGGAACCAGCCCAUAGUGGGCUGGUGCGCCCCCUUUGGCCCACCCCAUGCGCCUAGGGUUGGGAACCCUAGGGUGGGGGGGGGGCGCCCCACCUGGCUUGGGGGGCACUCCACCCCUUGGCCGCCCCCCUAGGAGAUCCCAUCUCCUAGGGCCGCCGCACCCCCUAGGGGGCCUAUAUAAAGGGGGAGGGAGGGGCAGCCGCACCCUUGACUCUUGGCGCCUCGCUCUCCCCUGCUACACCUCUCCCUCUCGUAGUAGAACGGCGAAGCCCUGCUGCGGUGACCCCUGCAUCCACCACCACGCCGUCGUGCUGCUGGAUCUUCAUCAACCUCUCCUCCCCCCUUGCUGGAUCAAGAAAGAUGAGACGUCACGCUGACCGUACGUGUGUUGAACACGGAGGUGCCAUCCGUUUGGCGCUAGGAUCUCCGGUGAUUUGUAUCACGUCGAGUACGACUUCCUCAUCCCCAUUCUUUGAAUGCUUCCGCGCGUGAUCUACAAAGGUAUGUAGAUGCAAUCCGAUCACUCGUUGCUAGAUGAACCCAUAGAUGGAUCUUGGUGAAACCGUAGGAAAAUUUUUGUUUUCUGCAACGCUCCCCAACAGUGGCAUCAUGAGCUAGGUCUAUGCGUAGUUCUCUUUGCACGAGUAGAACACAAUUUGUUGUGGGCAUAGAUAUUGUCAACUUUCUUGCCGCUACUAGUAUUAUUUUGCUUCAGCAGUAUCGUGGGAUGAAGCGGCCCGGACCAACCUUAUACGUAGGCUUACAUGAGACCGGUUCCACCGACUAACAUGCACUAGUUGCAUAAGGUGGCUGGCGGGUGUCUGUCUCUCCCACUUUAGUUGGAGCGGAUUCGAUGAAAAGGGUCCUUAUGAAGGGUAAAUAGAAGUUGACAAAUCACGUUGUGGCUUUCACGUAGGUAAGAAAACGUUCUUGCUAGAACUCUAUUGCAGCCACGUAAAACUUGCAACAACAAUUAGAGGACGUCUAACUUGUUUUUGCAGCAAGUGUUCUGUGAUGUGAUAUGGCCAAAGUUGUGAUGAAUGAUGAAUGAUAUAUAUGUGAUGUAUGAGAUGUUCAUGCUAUUGUAAUAGGAAUCACGACUUGCAUGUCGAUGAGUAUGACAACCGGCAGGAGCCAUAGGAGUUGUCUUUAUUUUUUGUAUGACCUGCGUGUCAUUGAGAAACGCCAUGUAAAUUACUUUACUUUAUUGCUAAACGUGUUAGCCAUAGUAGUAGAAGUAAUAGUUGGCGAGCAACUUCGUGGAGACAUGAUGAUGGAGAUCAUGAUGAUGGAGAUCAUGGUGUCAUGCCGGUGACAAGAUGAUCAUGGAGCCCCAAGAUGGAGAUCAAAGGAGCUAUGUGAUAUUGGCCAUAUCAUGUCACUAUUAUUAUUUGAUUGCAUGUGAUGUUUAUCAUGUUUUUGCAUCUUGUUUACUUAGAACGAUGGUAGUAAAUAAGAUGAUCCCUCAUAAUAAUUUCAAGAAAGUGUUCCCCCUAACUGUGCACCGUUGCGACAGUUCGUUGUUUCGAAGCACCACAUAAUGAUCGGGUGUGAUAGAUUCCAACGUUCACAUACAACGGGUGUAAGACCGAUUUACACAUGCAAACACUUAGGUUGACUUGACGAGCCUAGCAUGUACAUACAUGGCCUCGGAACACAGAAGACCGAAAGGUCGAGCAUGAGUCGUAUAGAAGAUACGAUCAACAUGAAGAUGUUCACCGAUGUUGACUAGUCCGUCUCACGUUUUGACUUAGAUGAACUUAAUUAUCAUGAACUUAGUCUAAAAUCUUUACAACAUGUAUUGUAGAUCAAAUGGCCAACGUUGUCCUCAACUUCAAUGCGUUCCUAGAGAAAACCAAGCUGAAAGACGAUGGCAGCAACUACACGGACUGGGUCCGGAACCUGAGGAUCAUCCUCAUAGCUGCCAAGAAAGAUUAUGUCCUACAAGCACCGCUAGGUGACGCACCUGUUCUCCCUGCAGAACAAGACGUUAUGAACGCUUGGCAGACACGUACCGAUGAUUACUCCCUCAUUCAGUGCGGCAUGCUUUACAGCUUAGAACUGGGGCUCCAAAAGCGUUUUGAGAGACACGGAGCAUAUGAGAUGUUCGAAGAGCUGAAAAUGGUUUUUCAAGCUCAUGCCCGGGUCGAGAGAUAUGAAGUCUCCGACAAGUUCUUCAGCUGUAAGAUGGAGGAAAACAGUUCUGUCAGUGAGCACAUACUCACUAUGUCUGGGUUACAUAACCGCUUGACUCAGCUGGGAGUUAAUCUCCCGGAUGACGCGGUCAUUGACAGAAUCCUUCAGUCGCUUCCACCGAGCUACAAGAGCUUUGUGAUGAACUUCAAUAUGCAGGGGAUGGAAAAGACCAUUCCUGAAGUAUUUGCAAUGUUGAAAUCAGCAGAGGUAGAAGUCAAAAAGGAACAUCAAGUGUUGAUGGUGAAUAAAACCACUAAGUUCAAGAAAGGCAAGGGUAAGAAGAACUUCAAGAAGGACGGCAAGGGAGUUGCCGCGCCCGGCAAGCAAGCUGCCGGGAAGAAGCCAAAGAAUGGACCCAAGCCCGAGACUGAGUGCUUUUAUUGCAAGGAAAGUGGUCACUGGAAGCGGAACUGCCCCAAAUACUUAGCGGACAAGAAGGCCGGCAAAACGAAAGGUAUAUGUGAUAUACAUGUAAUUGAUGUGUACCUUACCAGUACUCGUAGUAGCUCCUGGGUAUUUGAUACCGGUGCGGUUGCUCACAUUUGUAACUCAAAGCAGGAGCUGCGGAAUAAGCGGAGACUGGCGAAGGACGAGGUGACGAUGCGCGUCGGGAAUGGUUCCAAGGUCGAUGUGAUCGCCGUCGGCACCCUACCUCUACAUUUACCUAUGGGAUUAGUUUUGAACCUCAAUAAUUGUUAUUUAGUGCCAAGUUUGAGCAUGAACAUUGUAUCAGGAUCUCGUUUAAUACAAGAUGGCUACUCAUUUAAAUCCGAGAAUAAUGGUUGUUCUAUUUAUAUGAGAGAUAUGUUUUAUGGUCAUGCUCCGAUGGUGAAUGAUUUAUUCUUAAUGAAUCUCAAGUGUAAAGCUACACAUAUUCAUAGUGUGAAUACCAAAAGAUGUAAGGUUGAUAAUGAUAGUCCCACAUACUUGUGGCACUACCGCCUUGGUCACAUAGGUGUCAAACGCAUGAAGAAGCUCCAUGCAGAUGGACUUUUAGAGUCUCUUGAUUACGAAUCAUUUGACACGUGCGAACCAUGCCUCAUGGGUAAAAUGACCAAGACUCCGUUCUCAGGAAUAAUGGAGCGAGCAACCAACUUAUUGGAAAUCAUACAUACUGAUGUGUGCGGUCCAGUGAGUGUUGAGGCUCGCGGUGGCUAUCGUUAUGUUCUCACCCUCACUGAUGACUUGAGUAGAUAUGGGUAUACCUACUUAAUGAAACACAAGUCUGAGACCUUUGAAAGGUUCAAGGAAUUUUAGAGUGAGGUUGAGAAUCAACGUGACAGGAAAAUCAAGUUCCUACGAUCAGAUCGUGGAGGAGAAUACUUGAGUCACGAAUUUGGCACACACUUAAGAAAAUGUGGAAUAGUUUCACAACUCACGCCACCUGGAACACCUCAGCGUAAUGGUGUGUCCGAAUGUCGUAACCGCACUCUAUUAGAUAUGGUGCGAUCUAUGAUGUCUCUUACCGAUUUACCGCUCAUUUUGGGGCUAUGCUUUAGAGACUGCCGCAUUCACUUUAAAUAGGGCUCCGUCGAAAUCCGUUGAGACGACACCGUAUGAAUUAUGGUUUGGGAAGAAACCUAAGCUGCCGUUUCUAAAAGUUUGGGGAUGCGAUGCUUAUGUCAAGAAACUUCAACCUGAAAAGCUCGAACCCAAGUCGGAAAAAUGCGUCUUCAUAGGAUACCCUAAAGAAACUAUUGGGUAUACCUUCUACCUCAAAUCCGAAGGCAAGAUCUUUGUUGCCAAGAAUGGAUCCUUUCUAGAGAAGGAGUUUCUCUCGAAAGAAGUAAGUGGGAGGAAAGUAGAACUUGAUGAAGUAUUACCUCUUGAACCGGAAAGUGGCACAACUCAGGAAAAUGUUCCUGUGGUGUCUGCACCAAUUAGAGAGGAAGUUAAUGAUGAUGAUCAAGAUACUUCUGAUUAAGCUCCUACUGAAAUUCGAAGGUCCACAAGGACACGUUCCCCACCAGAAUGGUACGGCAACCCUGUCUUGGAAAUCAUGUUAUUAGACAACGGUGAACCUUCGAACUAUGAAGAAGCGAUGGCGGGCCCGGAUUCUGACAAAUGGCUGGAAGCCAUGAAAUCUGAGAUAGGAUCCAUGUAUGAAAAUGAAGUAUGGACUUUGACUAACUUGCCCGUUGAGCGGCGAGCCAUAGAAAAUAAAUGGAUCUUUAAGAAGAAGACAGACGCGGAUGGUAAUGUGACCAUCUAUAAAGCUCGGCUUGUCGCUAAGGGUUAUCGACAAGUUCAAGGGGUUAACUACGAUGAGACUUUCUCACCGGUAGCAAAGCUGAAGUCCAUCUGAAUCAUGUUAGCAACUGCCGCAUUCUAUGAUUAUGAGAUAUGGCAAAUGAACGUCAAAACGGCAUUCCUUAAUGGUUUCCUUAAGGAAGAAUUGUAUAUGAUGCAGCCGGAAGGUUUUGUCGAUCCUAAGAAUGCUGACAAGGUGUGCAAGCUCCAACGCUCGAUUUAUGGGCUGGUGCAAGCAUCUCGGAGUUGGAACAUUCGCUUUGAUGAGAUGAUCAAAGCGUUUGGGUUUAUGCAGACUUAUGGAGAAGCCUGCGUUUACAAGAAAGUGAGUGGGAGCUCUGUAGCAUUGCUCAUAUUGUAUGUAGAUGACAUACUUUUGAUGGGAAAUGAUAUAGAGCUUUUGGACAGCAUUAAGGCCUACUUGAAUAAGAGUUUUUCAAUGAAGGACCUUGGAGAAGCUGCUUAUAUAUUAGGCAUCAAGAUCUAUAGAGAUAGAUCAAGACGCCUCAUAGGUCUUUCACAAAGCACAUACCUUGAUAAGAUAUUGAAGAAGUUCAAUAUGGAUCAGUCUAAGAAGGGGUUCUUGCCUAUGUUGCAAGGUGUGAAAUUGAGCUCAGCUCAAUGUCCGACCACGGCAGAAGAUAUAGAAGAGAUGAGUGUCAUCCCCUAUGCCUCAGCCAUAGGUUCUAUUAUGUAUGCUAUGCUGUGUACCAGACCUGAUGUAAACCUUGUCGUAAGUUUGGUAGGUAGGUACCAAAGUAAUCCCGGCAAGGAACACUGGACAGCGGUCAAGAAUAUCCUGAAGUACCUGAAAAGGACUAAGGAAAUGUUUCUCGUUUAUGGAGGUGACGAAGAGCUCGUCGUAAAGGGUUACGUCGAUGCUAGUUUCGACACAGAUCUAGAUGACUCUAAGUCACAAACCGGGUACGUGUAUAUUUUGAAUGGUGGGGCAGUAAGCUGGUGCAGUUGCAAGCAGAGCGUCGUGGCGGGAUCUACAUGUGAAGUGGAGUACAUGGCAGCCUCGGAGGCAGCACAUGAAGCAAUUUGGGUGAAGGAGUUCAUCACCGACCUAGGAGUCAUACCCAAUGCGUCGGGGCCGAUCAAACUCUUCUGUGACAACACUGGAGCUAUUGCACUUGCCAAGGAGCCCAGGUUUCACAAGAAGACCGGGCACAUCAAGCGUCGCUUCAACUCCAUUCGUGAAAAUGUUCAAGAUGGAGACAUAGAUAUUUGUAAAGUACAUACGGACCUGAAUGUAGCAGAUCCGUUGACUAAACCUCUCCCUAGAGCAAAACAUGAUCAACACCAGAAUUCCAUGGGUGUUCGAUUCAUCACAAUGUAACUAGAUUAAUGACUCUAGUGCAAGUGGGAGACUAUUGGAAAUAUGCCCUAGAGGCAAUAAUAAAAGGAUUAUUAUUAUAUUUCCUUGUUCAUGAUAAUUGUCUUUUAUUCAUUCUAUAAUUGUGUUAUCCGGAAAUCGUAAUACAUGUGUGAAUACAUAGACACCAACAUGUCCCUAGUAAGCCUCUAGUUGACUAGCUCGUUGAUCAACAGAUAGUCAUGGUUUCCUGACUAUGGACAUUGGAUGUCAUUGAUAACGAGAUCACAUCAUUAGGAGAAUGAUGUGAUGGACAAGACCCAAUCCUAAACAUAGCACAAGAUCGUAUAGUUCGUUUGCUAGAGUUUUUCCGAUGUCAAGUAUCUUUUCCUUAGACCAUGAGAUCGUGUAACUCCCGAAUACCGUAGGAGUGCUUUGGGUGUACCAAACGUCACAACGUAACUGGGUGACUAUAAAGGUAUACUACGGGUAUCUCCGGAAGUGUCUGUUGGGUUGACACGGAUCAAGACUGGGAUUUGUCACUCCGUAUGACGGAGAGGUAUCUCUGGGCCCACUCGGUAAUGCAUCAUCACAAUGAGCUCAAAGUGACCAAGUGUCUGGUCACGGGAUCAUGCAUUACGGUACGAGUAAAGUGACUUGCCGGUAACGAGAUUGAACGAGGUAUUGGGAUACCAACGAUCGAAUCUCGGGCAAGUAACGUACCGAUUGACAAAGGGAAUUGUAUACGGGGUUGCUUGAAUCCUCGACAUCGUGGUUCAUCCGAUGAGAUCAUCGACGAGCAUGUGGGAGCCAACAUGGGUAUCCAGAUCCCGCUCUUGGUUAUUGACCGGAGAGCCAUCUCGGUCAUGUCUACAUGUCUCCCGAACCCGUAGGGUCUACACACUUAAGAUUCGAUGACGCUAGGGUUGUAGAGAUAUGAAUAUGCAGUAACCCGAAAGUUGUUCGGAGUCCCGGAUGAGAUCCUAGACGUCACGAGGAGUUCCGGAAUGGUCCGAAGGUGAAGAAUUAUAUAUAGGAAGUGCAGUUUCGGCCAUCUGGAGAGUUUCGGGGGUCACCGGUAUUGUACCGGGACCACCGAAAGGGUCCCGGGGGUCCACCGGGUGGGGCCACCUAUCCCGGAGGGCCCCAUGGCUAAGUGGGGAGGGGAACCAGCCCAUAGUGGGCUGGUGCGCCCCCUUUGGCCCACCCCAUGCGCCUAGGGUUGGGAACCCUAGGGUGGGGGGGGGGGGGCGCCCCACCUAGCUUGGGGGGCACUCCACCCCUUGGCCGCCGCCCCCCCUAGGAGAUCCCAUCUCCUAGGGCCGGCGCACCCCCUAGGGAGCCUAUAUAAAGGGGGGAGGGAGGGGCAGCCGCACCCUUGAGUCUUGGCGCCUCCCUCUCCCCUUCUACACCUCUCCUUCUCGUAGUAGAACGGCGAAGCCCUGCUGCGGUGACCCCUGCAUCCACCACCACGCCGUCGUGCUGCUGGAUCUUCAUCAACCUCUCCUCUCCCCCUUGCUGGAUCAAGAAAGAUGAGACGUCAUGCCGACCGUACAUGUGUUGAACACGGAGGUGCCGUCCGUUCGGCGCUAGGAUCUCCGAAAAUUUGGAUCACGUCGAGUACGACUUCCUCAUCCCUGUUCUUUGAACACUUCCGCGCGUGAUCUACAAAGGUAUGUAGAUGCAAUCCGAUCACUCGUUGCUAGAUGAACUCAUAGAUGGAUCUGGUGAACCGUAGGAAAUUUUUUGUUUUCUGCAACGUUCCCCAACAGUGGCAUCAUGAGCUAGGUCUAUGCGUAGUUCUCUUUGCACGAGAUCAGUACAGAAAACCGUGAGCAGUAUGAUCAUCGAAGUUAUGCUCAUAUCACAAAGAAUGAGUCGGAUGUAUUCCCAACUCCUUCCUCACUCAAGCCCUGGUCCAUUCGGGGGCUAAUGAUGAAGCUAUGUACCUAGGGUAGGGUCAUGGAUCUGUCCAAGAUACCCUCCCCAAAGACAUCUCUAAAGGAACCAGAAGCGGUCGAAGCAAAAUCAUCAUCCACUCGACCGUGAAGCUAUGUUCCACUCGACAGUAUAGAAGACACUCGACUAUGCGAACAGCCACUCGACGAUACGAGAAACCACUCGGAGUGUAGAAGGCCUAACGUCACUCAGGAUGGCAACGGUCGGUCAUUCACUCUGCAACCUUAAAGAUUAUUUAUAUCUCUUUAUUACUAGCUUACCAGUAACGCCUUGCCUUAAUGUACAUUGAACCCUUUGUAACGUGGGCUGGCUGGAGUCCUGGCGCACUCUAUAUAAACCACCCCCUCCUCCAAGACAAGGGUUCGCACCUUUGUAAUUCACACGCAUAUAUCCAGUCGACCACCUCCGGGCUCCGAGACGUAGGGCUGUUACUUCCUCUGAGAAGGACUUGAACUUGUAAAACUCGCGUGUAUAACUCCUCCAUAGCUAGGAUCUUGCCUUUACAAUCCUACCCCCCUAUUCUACUGUCAAGCUUAAAACCACGACAACCGGCGCCUUGGAGGAGUCCGUGCAUGCGUGACGUGUGCCACCGGGGAAAGCAAAGCAGCAGCGUGAGUCCUCCCUUUUCCUUUUUCUUUCUGUGUUAUAAGUAUCUUGCUCUAUCAAGGUUUGACUAGCUAGAUUUUCAUUGCCGGUUUAGAAAUUGGACGGAUUGUUUGAUCAGCAGAUCGUUUGCGUAGAUUAGAUCUCCAGACGAUCAAAGAAGUAGGUGCUUAAUGGAUGGUGGAUGCUGGCUUUAAAUCGGCUCUCACCUUAUCACUGGUAAGCGAAGCAUUGUACCUUUGGUCUUUCUAAUCGGAUCUGUUUUGUUCUGGUAUGGUAUUGGCGUCAGUUAAUUUUCCAUGGUUCUUUAGAUGUUAAAUAAAACAGAUAUUUAAGAGCAUAAAACAGAUAUUUGCUUAUAUGGGAGGAGGAAGAUCUUUUCUUGUGGAGGAAAGAUAAGGCGUAGUUAGGAUUGACUCUGACUCGACUCUAAGUGUUAAAUCAGACACUCUGGAUCAUCACGAUAAUAGGUGCAGUGUUUUACCAGUCCUUAAGAUCAUAUAUCUGUGUUAAAUCAUGGACAUGUCAUAUAACCACCUGUAAUACAUUCAAGCUUUUCAUCCGUGCUAUGUACUAUUAAUAGGCUACAAUUUAUGCUCUCCAUCAGCAUCGUUUUUUUUUUUUUUGCGAAAGCCAUUAGCAUUGUUGUUUGUCUUUCCUUCUUCACGGGGGAGACAUGUUGCAUGUCUCUAUCCAUUCUAAUUGAUUUUACGAAGUCAACGGGGUUUUCUUACAGUCACGCCUCAUCGGGAUUUUUCUUAUGCACAUGGUAUUCCAAUGAUAACGUCCCAUACUGCUAUUCAGUUUUUAUUUUUCAUCUCAGUGCUAAAUAGGAUUUUUCUUUUAAUUUAUGUAUCUAUAUUGUUGCCCAUAGCAACGCACGGGCAUUUAGCUAGUUAUUUUUAAUAUAUGCAUAUUAGUAAACAUUAGGUGAAGUAUUUCUAAAAAUAAUUUAUUUCGUUUUUAUGUAACAUAAUUAUAAAAAAAAUCAAAUGUCAUUUUUUAUUACUGACAUUAUAAUUUACAUUUUUUGGGGAAUCUGAGAUUAUAAUUUACAUAGUUUCUACGAAUAAGUUUAGAAAUCAAACAGGUGCAAAAUGGGCUGCACUAUUUGCAGCCCUUUUGUGCUCCACGUGCGACGAGAUUAGUACAUAGAAGUUUGUUAUCCAUAUUUGACAAAUGACAGGUUUGGUUUUAGUGGCUAGCCCUCUUGCUUUUGUCGUGUGCGUUGUGGACUCGAGACCUUCCGGCCACAGCACUGUGUUGAAAAAAAAUAAGUGAUUAAAUGGUUAAAAUGUUAAUUACCAUAAGUUAAAGUGGGCCCAAUAGUGAAUUACGGGAUUAACACUAAUUAACGGUAAUUAGCAAUUUGCGCCUGUGAUUGGGGGGCUAAUUAAGAUUAUGGUUAGGUCCCACGUCAUAAACAACGCUAUAUCUAAAGGAUGGCAUCCCUGCACCUAUUUGAUCGUCGUAUAGUUUAGGAUAACAGUGCCCUUUACACUGAGAAGGGUAUGGAGACAAUUUCCAUGGUUGAUGAAUCCCUUUACACUGAUUUUCCCCUAAUACUUGGUGGGUUGACUCAGGUGCCACCGUGCACAUUUCUAACUCAUUGCAGGGAUUCCUUACCAUGAGGACGCUUCAAAGAGGGGAGCGAACUCUUAGAGUUGCAAAUGGACAGGAGGCUAAUGUUGAAGCUGUUGGGACUCUCCCGUUAGUGCUAAAAGAUGGCUUCACCCUCCUUCUUAAUAAUGCUAUUUAUGUUCCUACCAUGAGGAGGAACCUUAUUUCUGUUUCUCUAUUAGAUGAUGAUGGUUUUGAGACUUAUUUUGGGAACAAACGAUGUGUUAUUAAGUUUGGUCAUGAUGAUGUUGGUCAUGGCGUUCGCCAUGACAAACUCUAUAGACUCCUUUUGAACGACUCCUCUGAAUCUUGGAAUGUUUGUGAUGUAAUAAAUAAGCAUGAG